rnacentral:rRNA from 1 species
UACGAAGGGGGCUAGCGUUGUUCGGAAUUACUGGGCGUAAAGCGCACGUAGGCGGAUAUUUAAGUCAGGGGUGAAAUCCCAGAGCUCAACUCUGGAACUGCCUUUGAUACUGGGUAUCUUGAGUAUGGAAGAGGUAAGUGGAAUUGCGAGUGUAGAGGUGAAAUUCGUAGAUAUUCGCAGGAACACCAGUGGCGAAGGCGGCUUACUGGUCCGGAACUGACGCUGAGGUGCGAAAAGCGUGGGGAGCCAAACAGG